CCUACGGGGGGCUGCAGUGAGGAAUAUUGGUCAAUGGACGAGAGUCUGAACCAGCCAAGUAGCGUGAAGGAUGACUGCCCUAUGGGUUGUAAACUUCUUUUAUAAAGGAAUAAAACGAGGCACGUGUGCCUUUUUGCAUGUACUUUAUGAAUAAGGAUCGGCUAACUCCGUGCCAGCAGCCGCGGUAAUACGGAGGAUCCGAGCGUUAUCCGGAUUUAUUGGGUUUAAAGGGAGCGUAGAUGGGUUGUUAAGUCAGUUGUGAAAGUUUGCGGCUCAACCGUAAAAUUGCAAUUGAUACUGGCAGUCGUGAGUACAGUUGAGGUAGGCGGAAUUCGUGGUGUAGCGGUGAAAUGCUUAGAUAUCACGAAGAACUCCGAUUGCGAAGGCAGCUUACUAAACUGCCACUGACAUUGAUGCUCGAAAGUGUGGGUAUCAAACAGGAUUAGAUACCCGUGUAGUC
rnacentral:rRNA from 1 species